GUGGGGAAUAUUGGACAAUGGGCGAAAGCCUGAUCCAGCCAUGCCGCGUGUGUGAAGAAGGUCUUCGGAUUGUAAAGCACUUUAAGUUGGGAGGAAGGGCAGUAAGUUAAUACCUUGCUGUUUUGACGUUACCGACAGAAUAAGCACCGGCUAACUUCGUGCCAGCAGCCGCGGUAAUACGAAGGGUGCAAGCGUUAAUCGGAAUUACUGGGCGUAAAGCGCGCGUAGGUGGUUUUGUAAGUUGGAGGUGAAAUCCCCGGGCUCAACCUGGGAACUGCCUCCAAAACUGCAUGACUAGAGUACGGUAGAGGGUAGUGGAAUUUCCUGUGUAGCGGUGAAAUGCGUAGAUAUAGGAAGGAACACCAGUGGCGAAGGCGCCUUUCUGGACUGUGUCUGACGCUGAGAUGCGAAAGCCAGGGUAGCGAACGGGAUUAGAAACCCUUGUAGUCC
rnacentral:rRNA from 1 species